CGCGUAGGCGGCCCGGCAAGUCCGCUGUGAAAGUCAAGGGCUCAACCCUUGAAUGCCGGUGGAUACUGCCGGGCUAGAGUCCGGAAGAGGCGAGUGGAAUUCCUGGUGUAGCGGUGAAAUGCGCAGAUAUCAGGAGGAACACCGAUGGCGAAGGCAGCUCGCUGGGACGGUACUGACGCUGAGGCGCGAAAGCGUGGGGAGCAAACA
rnacentral:rRNA from 1 species